CGGGAGGUCGUCUAAGCGGCAGGACGACAGAUUCUCGAUCUGUAUAACGGGGUUCGAGUCCCCGCCUCCCUC
rnacentral:tRNA from 1 species